rnacentral:rRNA from 1 species
UACAGAGGGUGCGAGCGUUAAUCGGAAUUACGGGGCGUAAAGCGCACGUAGGUGGCGACGUAAGUCGGGUGUGAAAGCCCCGGGCUCAACCUGGGAAUUGCAUUCGAGACUGCAUUGCUCGAGUACGGAAGAGGAAGGCGGAAUUCCCGGUGUAGCGGUGAAAUGCGUAGAUAUCGGGAGGAACAUCAGUGGCGAAGGCGGCCUUCUGGUCCAGUACUGACACUCAAGUGCGAAAGCGUGGGGAGCAAAUAGG